rnacentral:rRNA from 1 species
GGGCCCGCACAAGCGGUGGAGCAUGUGGUUUAAUUCGAUGAUACGCGAGGAACCUUACCAGGGCUUAAAUGUAGUAUGACCGGUCUGGAAACAGACCUUCCCUUCGGGGCAGAUUACAAGGUGCUGCAUGGUUGUCGUCAGCUCGUGCCGUGAGGUGUUAGGUUAAGUCCUGCAACGAGCGCAACCCCUAUUCUUAGUUGCCAGCGGUUCGGCCGGGGACUCUAAGAAGACUGCCAGCGCAAGCUGAGAGGAAGGUGGGGAUGACGUCAAAUCAUCACGGCCCUUACGUCCUGGGCUACACACGUGCUACAAUGGCUAGGACAGACGGCCGCAAACCCGCGAGGGGAGCCAA